AUUGAACGCUGGCGGCAGGCCUAACACAUGCAAGUCGAACGGUAACAGGAAGAAGCUUGCUUCUUUGCUGACGAGUGGCGGACGGGUGAGUAAUGUCUGGGAAACUGCCUGAUGGAGGGGGAUAACUACUGGAAACGGUAGCUAAUACCGCAUAACGUCGCAAGACCAAAGAGGGGGACCUUCGGGCCUCUUGCCAUCGGAUGUGCCCAGAUGGGAGUAGCUAGUAGGUGGGGUAACGGCUCACCUAGGCGACGAUCCCUAGCUGGUCUGAGAGGAUGACCAGCCACACUGGAACUUAGACACGGUCCAGACUCCUACGGGAGGCAGCAGUGGGGAAUAGUGCACAAUGGGCGCAAGCCUGAUGCAGCCAUGCCGCGUGUAUGAAGAAGGCCUUCGGGUUGUAAAGUACUUUCAGCGGUGAGGAAGGGAGUAAAGUUAAUACCUUGGCUCAUUGACGUUACCCGCAGAAGAAGCACCGGCUAACUCCGUG
rnacentral:rRNA from 1 species